rnacentral:ncRNA from 1 species
AUUCUUUGUAAUCUUGGUGUAUGUCGCGAGUCAAGACAAAUUUCACUGUAAGGCCAAAGAGACAAUAAAUUGGGCAUAAUCAGGCUUCUUUCUUUUAGUUAAUUGACAAGGAGUUUGGUGACUUAUCAAAAUGCCCAUACAAAUCAUUCAUUUGC